CUUUUAUGGAGAGUUUGAUCCUGGCUCAGAGUGAACGCUGGCGGCGUGCCUAAUACAUGCAAGUCGAACGAUGAAGCUUCUAGCUUGCUAGAAUGCUGAUUAGUGGCGCACGGGUGAGUAACGCAUAGGUCAUGUGCCUUUUAGUUUGGGAUAGCCAUUGGAAACGAUGAUUAAUACCAGAUACUCCCUACGGGGGAAAGAUUUAUCGCUAAGAGAUCAGCCUAUGUCCUAUCAGCUUGUUGGUAAGGUAAUGGCUUACCAAGGCUAUGACGGGUAUCCGGCCUGAGAGGGUGAACGGACACACUGGAACUGAGACACGGUCCAGACUCCUACGGGAGGCAGCAGUAGGGAAUAUUGCUCAAUGGGGGAAACCCUGAAGCAGCAACGCCGCGUGGAGGAUGAAGGUUUUAGGAUUGUAAACUCCUUUUGUUAGAGAAGAUAAUGACGGUAUCUAACGAAUAAGCACCGGCUAACUCCGUGCCAGCAGCCGCGGUAAUACGGAGGGUGCAAGCGUUACUCGGAAUCACUGGGCGUAAAGAGCGCGUAGGCGGGAUAGUCAGUCAGGUGUGAAAUCCUAUGGCUUAACCAUAGAACCGCAUUUGAAACUACUAUUCUAGAGUGUGGGAGAGGUAGGUGGAAUUCUUGGUGUAGGGGUAAAAUCCGUAGAGAUCAAGAGGAAUACUCAUUGCGAAGGCGACCUGCUGGAACAUUACUGACGCUGAUUGCGCGAAAGCGUGGGGAGCAAACAGGAUUAGAUACCCUGGUAGUCCACGCCCUAAACGAUGGAUGCUAGUUGUUGGAGGGCUUAGUCUCUCCAGUAAUGCAGCUAACGCAUUAAGCAUCCCGCCUGGGGAGUACGGUCGCAAGAUUAAAACUCAAAGGAAUAGACGGGGACCCGCACAAGCGGUGGAGCAUGUGGUUUAAUUCGAAGAUACACGAAGAACCUUACCUAGGCUUGACAUUGAGAGAAUCCGCUAGAAAUAGUGGAGUGUCUAGCUUGCUAGACCUUGAAAACAGGUGCUGCACGGCUGUCGUCAGCUCGUGUCGUGAGAUGUUGGGUUAAGUCCCGCAACGAGCGCAACCCCCUUUCUUAGUUGCUAACAGGUCAUGCUGAGAACUCUAAGGAUACUGCCUCCGUAAGGAGGAGGAAGGUGGGGACGACGUCAAGUCAUCAUGGCCCUUACGCCUAGGGCUACACACGUGCUACAAUGGGGUGCACAAAGAGAAGCAAUACUGCGAAGUGGAGCCAAUCUUCAAAACACCUCUCAGUUCGGAUUGUAGGCUGCAACUCGCCUGCAUGAAGCUGGAAUCGCUAGUAAUCGCAAAUCAGCCAUGUUGCGGUGAAUACGUUCCCGGGUCUUGUACUCACCGCCCGUCACACCAUGGGAGUUGUGUUUGCCUUAAGUCAGGAUGCUAAAUUGGCUACUGCCCACGGCACACACAGCGACUGGGGUGAAGUCGUAACAAGGUAACCGUAGGUGAACCUGCGGUUGGAUCACCUCCUUUCU
rnacentral:rRNA from 1 species